rnacentral:rRNA from 1 species
AGUGAACGCUGGCGGCGUGCCUAAUACAUGCAAGUCGAACGGAGUGGCGCACGGGUGAGUAAUAUAUAGCUAAUCUGCCCCUUGCUGGAGGACAAUAGUUAGAAAUGACUGCUAAUACUCCAUAGCAAGGGAUGAGUCUAUAUCGUAUAAGCUAGUCGGUGGGGUAACGGCCUACCGAGGCGAUGACGCGUAACUGGUCUGGGAGGAUGUUCAGUCACAUUGGAAUUGAGACACGGUCCAAACUCCUACGAGAGGCAGCAGUAGGGGAUAUUGCGCAGUGUGGGAGACCCGGACGCAGCAACGCCGCGUGUGGGAUGGAAGUUUUCGGGGCGUAAACACCUUGUGUAAGAGAAGCGGUACCUAACGAAUAAGCACCUGCUAACUCCGUGCCAGCAGCCGCGGUAAUUC